CGACGUUGGACAAAAGACUAGACUCUUGUCUGGCAAAGUUACGUAGUUUUAGUAAUAUUGGUUAUACUUAUAUAUUUCUUAAAAAAAAAACUACAAUGCCUCGAAAUUACAAGCGGAAGGCUCCACACAGGUCCGUUGUUACCCGUGAUCAAUUUGAUGCUGCUAAGCGAUUGAUUGCCGAAGGUUUAAGUAAAAGAAAAGCAGCUGAACAGGUUGGAAUGAAAGAGAGUACUCUCAAGAAGCGAUUAAAAUCUGAUUCAACUGCUCUAAAAUUAGGAAGAUUCACUUCAACUUUCACAAGAGGAGCGAUUCCCCUUCUCUCGACGAGAUACACCUCUCCCAUCACUGAGCUGAACUUUAUUAAUUACGCAACCGAA